GAGGUGUCGACUCCUCCCGUGCCCGUCGUUACGCACUUAAGUACCCCGCCUGGGAGUACGGCCCGCAAGGCUAAACUCAAAGGAAUUGACGGGGGCCCGCACCAAGCAGGCGGAGCAUGUUGGUUUAAUUCGACGCAACGCCGAAGAACCCUCACCUGGCUUGACAUGUUGGUGACCGCCGUGGAAACACGUUUUCCUUCGGGACACCAUCACAGGUGGUGCAUGGCUGUCGUCAGCUCGUGUCGUGAGAUGUUGGGUUAAGUCCCCGCAACGAGCGCAACCCCCGUCCUAUGUUGCCAGCAUUCAGUUGGGGACUCAUAGGAGACUGCCGGUGACAAACCGGAGGAAGGUGGGGAUGACGUCAAGUCAUCAUGCCCCUUAUGUCCAGGGCUACACACGUGCUACAUUGGCGCAUACAAAGGGCAGCAAUACCGCGAGGUGGAGCAAAUCCCAUAAAGUGCGCCUCGGUUCGGAUUGGAGGCUGAAACUCGCCUCCAUGAAGGUGGAGUUGCUAGUAAUCGCGGAUCAGCAAUGCCGCGGUGAAUACGUUCCCGGGCCUUGUACACACCGCCCGUCACACCACGAAAGCGAGUAACACCCGAAGCCGGUGGCCUAACCGCAAGGAGGGAGCUGUCGAAGGUGGGACCCGUGAUAGAGAUGAAGUCGUAACAAGGUAUUCGUAGAUCGAAUGAGAGA
rnacentral:rRNA from 1 species